rnacentral:rRNA from 1 species
UUUUGUAUGGCGAAUUGUAGUCUAUAGAGGCGUGGUCAGCGUGGGCGCUUGGGGUAAGUUCCUUGGAAGAGGACAGCAUGGAGGGUGAUACUCCCGUUCAUCCCUGAGUGGCUCGUGCGUACGACCCGUUUUCUUUGAGUCGCGUUGUUUGGGAAUGCAGCGCAAAGUAGGUGGUAAAUUCCAUCUAAAGCUAAAUAUUGGUGCGAGACCGAUAGCGAACAAGUACCGUGAGGGAAAGAUGAAAAGAACUUUGAAAAGAGAGUUAAAGAGUACCUGAAACUGCUGAAAGGGAACCGAAUCGUUUCCAGUGUCUAUAAUCCGUGGUAUAUUUCAUUGGCGAGUGUGUGCGUGCGUGUGCUGUGGCAGUGGCUUUUUUGGCUGCGCUCGGCGUGUGUGCUGUGUGUGCUUGCUGGUGCCCUGUGCUGCGGUGGGACGUCAAGGUCAGUUCGUAUGCUGCGGGAAAUGGCUGCCGAGGAGGUAGGGCUUACGCUUGCGUUUGUCUGUUAUAUCUUGGUGGACGAGUUGUCGCGGUUGGGACUGAGGUGCCUACAACGUGCUUUUGAGUGAGUUUGUGUCUCCGUGUGCGCCGUGUGUGGAUAGCUUGCUAUGUAUGUGCGGUUGUGUGUGGAUUGAUGCGGGCUUUAACUUGUUGCCGUUCGGGACGUUGGCGAAAUGGAGCGAUCCGACCCGUCUUGAAACACGGACCAAGGAGUCUAACAUGUGUGCAAGUGUUAGGGUGUGGAAACCCCAGCGCGAAAUGAAAGUGAAGGGCAGCGCAAGUUGUCUGAGGUAGGAAACGUUGUGGACUUCGGUCUGCGGCGUGGCACUAUCGACCGAUCAUGAACCUUCGUGGUGAAAGAUUUGAGUUUGAGCACAUAUGUUGGUACCCGAAAGAUGGUGAACUAUGCCUGAG